CGAAAGCCUGACGCAGCGACGCCGCGUGGGGGAAGACGGCCUUCGGGUUGUAAACCUCUUUCGACAGGGACGAAGCCACUCGGGUUAAUAGCCCAGAGGGUGACGGUACCUGCAGAAGAAGCUCCGGCUAACUUCGUGCCAGCAGCCGCGGUAAUACGAAGGGAGCAAGCGUUGUCCGGAUUUAUUGGGCGUAAAGAGCGUGUAGGCGGCCAGACAGGUCCGUUGUGAAAACUGGAGGCUUAACCUCCAGACGUCGAUGGAAACCGUUUGGCUAGAGUCCGGAAGAGGAGAGUGGAAUUCCUGGUGUAGCGGUGAAAUGCGCAGAUAUCAGGAAGAACACCCGUGGCUAAGGCGGCUCUCUAGUACGGUACUGACGCUGAGACGCGAAAGCGUGGGGAGCGAACAGGAUUAGAUACCCUGGUAGUCCACGCCGUAAACGAUGGGUGCUAGGUGUGGGGGGUGUCGACUCCCUCCGUGCCGAAGCUAACGCAUUAAGCACCCCGCCUGGGGAGUACGGCCGCAAGGCUA
rnacentral:rRNA from 1 species